UCCUGAGAGUUUGAUCCUGGCUCAGAAUCAACGCUGGCGGCGUGCCUCAGACAUGCAAGUCGAACGCGAAAGUUUCCUUCGGGGAACAAGUAGAGUGGCGCACGGGUGAGUAACACGUAGGUAAUCUACCUUCGGAUGGGGAAUAACAACCGGAAACGGUUGCUAAUACCGCAUAAUGCAGCGGCACCUAAUGGUGACAGUUGUUAAAGCGGGGGAUCGCAAGACCUCGCGUCUGAAGAGGAGCCUGCGGCAGAUUAGCUAGUUGGUAAGGUAAUGGCUUACCAAGGCGAUGAUCUGUAGCCGGCCUGAGAGGGCGGUCGGCCACACUGACACUGACAUACGGGUCAGACUCCUACGGGAGGCAGCAGUCGGGAAUUUUGGGCAAUGGGCGAAAGCCUGACCCAGCAACGCCGCGUGAAGGAUGAAAUCCUUCGGGAUGUAAACUUCGCAAGAACGGGAAGAAUAAGUAAGAGUUAAUAUCUCUUAUGAUGACGGUACUGUUUGUAAGCUCCGGCUAACUCCGUGCCAGCAGCCGCGGUAAUACGGGGGGAGCAAGCGUUGUUCGGAUUUACUGGGCGUAAAGGGCGCGUAGGCGGCCACCGCAAGUCAGUUGUGAAAUCUCUGGGCUUAACCCAGAAAGGUCAACUGAUACUGCGGGGCUAGAGUGCAGAAGGGGCAACUGGAAUUCUCGGUGUAGCGGUGAAAUGCGUAGAUAUCGAGAGGAACACCUGCGGCGAAGGCGGGUUGCUGGGCUGACACUGACGCUGAGGCGCGAAAGCUAGGGGAGCGAACGGGAUUAGAUACCCCGGUAGUCCUAGCCUUAAACGAUGAAUGCUUGGUGUCUGGGGUUUUAUAGUCCCCGGGUGCCGUCGCUAACGCUUUAAGCAUUCCGCCUGGGGAGUACGGUCGCAAGACUGAAACUCAAAUGAAUUGACGGAAGGGCG
rnacentral:rRNA from 1 species